GACGAACGCUGGCGGCGUGCUUAACACAUGCAAGUCUAACGGAAAGGCCCUGCUUUUGUGGGGUGCUCGAGUGGCGAACGGGUGAGUAACACGUGAGUAACCUGCCCUUGACUUUGGGAUAACUUCAGGAAACUGGGGCUAAUACCGGAUAGGAGCUCCUGCUGCAUGGUGGGGGUUGGAAAGUUUCGGCGGUUGGGGAUGGACUUGCGGCUUAUCAGCUUGUUGGUGGGGUAGUGGCUUACCAAGGCUUUGACGGGUAGCCGGCCUGAGAGGGUGACCGGCCACAUUGGGACUGAGAUACGGCCCAGACUCCUACGGGAGGCAGCAGUGGGGAAUAUUGCACAAUGGGCGGAAGCCUGAUGCAGCAACGCCGCGUGCGGGAUGACGGCCUUCGGGUUGUAAACCGCUUUCGCCUGUGACGAAGCGUGAGUGACGGUAAUGGGUAAAGAAGCACCGGCUAACUACGUG
rnacentral:rRNA from 1 species